CCUACGGGAGGCAGCAGUGGGGAAUAUUGGACAAUGGGCGAAAGCCUGAUCCAGCCAUGCCGCGUGUGUGAAGAAGGCCUUCGGGUUGUAAAGCACUUUCAGUGGGGAAGAAAGCCUUGGGGCUAAUACCCUCGAGGAAGGACAUCACCCACAGAAGAAGCACCGGCUAACUCCGUGCCAGCAGCCGCGGUAAUACGGAGGGUGCGAGCGUUAAUCGGAAUUACUGGGCGUAAAGCGCGCGUAGGCGGUCUGAUAAGCCGGUUGUGAAAGCCCCGGGCUCAACCUGGGAACGGCAUCCGGAACUGUCAGGCUAGAGUGCAGGAGAGGAAGGUAGAAUUCCCGGUGUAGCGGUGAAAUGCGUAGAGAUCGGGAGGAAUACCAGUGGCGAAGGCGGCCUUCUGGACUGACACUGACGCUGAGGUGCGAAAGCGUGGGUAGCAAACAGGAUUAGAUACCCCGAGUAGUC
rnacentral:rRNA from 1 species